rnacentral:rRNA from 1 species
CUACGUGCCAGCAGCCGCGGUAAUACGUAGGUGGCAAGCGUUGUCCGGAAUUAUUGGGCGUAAAGCGCGCGCAGGCGGAUAGGUCAGUCUGUCUUAAAAGUUCGGGGCUUAACCCCGUGAUGGGAUGGAAACUGCCAAUCUAGAGUAUCGGAGAGGAAAGUGGAAUUCCUAGUGUAGCGGUGAAAUGCGUAGAUAUUAGGAAGAACACCAGUGGCGAAGGCGACUUUCUGGACGAAAACUGACGCUGAGGCGCGAAAGCCAGGGGAGCGAACGGGAUUAGAUACCCCGGUAGUCCUGGCCGUAAACGAUGGGUACUAGGUGUAGGAGGUAUCGACCCCUUCUGUGCCGGAGUUAACGCAAUAAGUACCCCGCCUGGGGAGUACGACCGCAAGGUUGAAACUCAAAGGAAUUGACGGGGGCCCGCACAAGCGGUGGAGUAUGUGGUUUAAUUCGACGCAACGCGAAGAACCUUACCAGGUCUUGACGU